CCGCCGGCGACCGGCGCACGGGUGAGUAACACGUAUGCAACCUGGCCGUGACAGAUGGAUAACCGGGAGAAAUCCCGCCUAAUACAACAUAAUGCCGGGAGGGGGACAUCCCCUGCCGGCCAAAGGGGGCGACCCCGGUCACGGAUGGGCAUGCGGCGCAUUAGGUAGUUGGUGGGGCAACGGCCCACCAAGCCGACGAUGCGUAGGGGUUCUGAGAGGAAGGUCCCCCACAUUGGAACUGAGACACGGUCCAAACUCCUACGGGAGGCAGCAG
rnacentral:rRNA from 1 species